rnacentral:lncRNA from 1 species
CUUUGAUAUUUAAGAUUUGAUUAACAUGUCUUUCUGACCUUUCCCUUGAAUCAUGAAUUUGAAUCCUGUGGAUGACCAUAUAUUGAAGCCUCUGAUCCCAGAAAGGUAAUAAGCUGAAAGUUGAACUGAGAGACCAGAUAAUAGAGGUUAAUACCCUUGGGAUAGGAAAGAAAACUUAAAGGGUAACUGAUGGGGUUAUCCUUAGCAAAAUUCUAUCCCUAUGAGAUGACCCUAAGUGGAGCCAUCUCUAUGAGGAUUAAUCCAGAGAUUGUUGCACACCUGGCAGUGUCAGGUCUGGGAAAACAGUUGCUGAUGUUUUCAUGGAGUGUGAAAUACUGAAAGCUGCGGGCAUCCCUUGGGGACCACUGACCCACACUUUGAAGAACCCUCAAUGAGUCUGAAAGAGGUUCAGUAUCUCUUGGGAAGGAUGUGUUCCAGGCUCCAGGCCUAGUCUUACAUGGCCAGUGGGGUUGAAAGACUGUGCCCCUGCAAUGGUCUUUUCCUAAGACAGUUGAACAAAGUUCCAAGUCUGUCUGUCCUAUUUUAACCAUCUUUAAGAAGCACAAAGGGGAUAUGAGAAAAACAGAUGCUGAAAUGAAAAUUUUAACUGAUAUCUUACUUAUCUCACAAGUCGUGUAAAGAAAGAAAUGAUAUGGUCGAAUAUUAGAUUAGAUGGUUUAAUGAUGUUUUGAGUGUUAUAUAUGAGCUAUGAUGAGACCUAGAAAAUAAAGUAAAAAUAAAAAAUAUAUAAGCCAUGAA